CCCCAAACCGACACAGGUGGUCAGGUAGAGAAUACCAAGGCGCUUGAGAGAACUCGGGUGAAGGAACUAGGCAAAAUGGUGCCGUAACUUCGGGAGAAGGCACGCUGAUACGUAGGUGAAGUCCCUCGCGGAUGGAGCUGAAAUCAGUCGAAGAUACCAGCUGGCUGCAACUGUUUAUUAAAAACACAGCACUGUGCAAACACGAAAGUGGACGUAUACGGUGUGACGCCUGCCCGGUGCCGGAAGGUUAAUUGAUGGGGUUAGCGGUAACGCGAAGCUCUUGAUCGAAGCCCCGGUAAACGGCGGCCGUAACUAUAACGGUCCUAAGGUAGCGAAAUUCCUUGUCGGGUAAGUUCCGACCUGCACGAAUGGCGUAAUGAUGGCCAGGCUGUCUCCACCCGAGACUCAGUGAAAUUGAACUCGCUGUGAAGAUGCAGUGUACCCGCGGCAAGACGGAAAGACCCCGUGAACCUUUACUAUAGCUUGACACUGAACAUUGAGCCUUGAUGUGUAGGAUAGGUGGGAGGCUUUGAAGUGUGGACGCCAGUCUGCAUGGAGCCGACCUUGAAAUACCACCCUUUAAUGUUUGAUGUUCUAACGUUGGCCCCUAAUCGGGGUUGCGGACAGUGUCUGGUGGGUAGUUUGACUGGGGCGGUCUCCUCCUAAAGAGUAACGGAGGAGCACGAAGGUUGGCUAAUCCUGGUCGGACAUCAGGAGGUUAGUGCAAUGGCAUAAGCCAGCUUGACUGCGAGCGUGACGGCGCGAGCAGGUGCGAAAGCAGGUCAUAGUGAUCCGGUGGUUCUGAAUGGAAGGGCCAUCGCUCAACGGAUAAAAGGUACUCCGGGGAUAACAGGCUGAUACCGCCCAAGAGUUCAUAUCGACGGCGGUGUUUGGCACCUCGAUGUCGGCUCAUCACAUCCUGGGGCUGAAGUAGGUCCCAAGGGUAUGGCUGUUCGCCAUUUAAAGUGGUACGCGAGCUGGGUUUAGAACGUCGUGAGACAGUUCGGUCCCUAUCUGCCGUGGGCGCUGGAGAACUGAGGGGGGCUGCUCCUAGUACGAGAGGACCGGAGUGGACGCAUCACUGGUGUUCGGGUUGUCAUGCCAAUGGCACUGCCCGGUAGCUAAAUGCGGAAGAGAUAAGUGCUGAAAGCAUCUAAGCACGAAACUUGCCCCGAGAUGAGUUCUCCCUGACUCCUUGAGAGUCCUGAAGGAACGUUGAAGACGACGACGUUGAUAGGCCGGGUGUGUAAGCGCAGCGAUGCGUUGAGCUAACCGGUACUAAUGAACCGUGAGGCUUAACCUUACAAC
rnacentral:rRNA from 1 species